ACUUCUUUUGAAAUCAAGCCUAAUGGAUAGAUCUUACCAUCUCCACCUCCUUAUAACAUCACUCUUUCUACUUCAAUGGUUAAUUGAUUAUAGCUCAGCCAACUCAGAUUUCAACACUGAUCGUUCUUCACUUACUGCCUUCAAAUCUCAAAUCUCUUUCGAUCCCCAUAACAUAUUGACCAAAAAUUGGAGCCGAGAGAGCAGUAUUUGUAGUUGGAUGGGAGUUACUUGUGAUUCUCGCUAUCACAGAGUCACUCAGUUGAACAUAUCGUCCAUGGGUAUUGUAGGAACCAUUCCACCAGAAAUCGGAAAUAUUUCUUUUCUCGUUUCUUUAGAUAUGAGCGAAAACUCUUUUCAUGGUCCUAUCCCCACAUCUAUUUUUAACAUGCCAAUUUUAGAAGUCUUGAAUUUGAGGAAUAAUAGUUUGUCUAGUGGUCUGCCUCUUGAUGUGUGCAAACAUAAUUUUCGUAGGCUUAAGAGACUUCGUAUUUCUUACAAUAAGUUGUAUGGGGAAAUACCAUCGAGUUUGGGGCAGUGUUCAAAGCUUGAGUAUAUUUCUUGUACAACAAAAGUUUUAGAGGAAACGUGCCAACCGAAAUUGGAAACUUGACAUUGGUUCAAGAACAAUUCUUGGGUGCUAACAAUUUAAGUGGUAAGGUAACAUUCCAAGGGAAAUUGGGAAUUUAACAAUGCUUCAAUUGUUGGACCUUGGUGACAAUAAAUUCAGUGGUGAGAUCUUAUCUCAAGCUCUCUUAUAUUUUGGCUUGUUUUGCAUUGAAAUUAUCUUUUUAAUGUCAUUUCAAUAAUUAUUUUCGGAGGUAUUAUUCAUUUUGUUUCUUUGCAGGUUUUAUAGUUAUGCAUCUCUUUAACAGAGGUUCUAUUAUAAAUAGGAGAGAUAAAUCAUUAUGAGACGAAUCUAUGCCAUCAUGAUACGAUUAUAUCUUCGAAAUUAUCUUUCAUAUUUGCAUUAUAAAUAGGACCUAUUGUUAGGUUUGUGUUAAAAUGACAACCCCUCUUAAAAUGACACCGUGACACCGCUUAUACAGCAAUAUUAUAAACGCUACACAGCAAUAUUACAAACACUACACAACAAUCUAUAGAUUGUUGUAUAGUGUGUCGGGUAUUGCUGGACAAGACAUCGUCUUUUUCCGAAUUUUUUUUUUUUGCCACGUGGCAGCUUAUUAUUCGUCCACGUGUACAAAUGAUUGGCUAGGAAUGGUGGUAUGGUGUUAUUUUAAGGGGAAGUGGCACCCUAACAUGCCCCCCUAUUGUUAUUCUCAUUGUUCAAUCAAUGAAAUCGUAAUUAUUGUCUUUUAUCUUUAUUUAUUUUUUUUUGUUUAGAAAUUCCGAUUGUCGACAGAGCAAGGUUUCUCUA